UUUUUUUUGGUCGGAAACGCCGAGAAAAGUUUCACUUAAAAUUAUUUUCACUCUCUUUGAAACAAAUGCGACCAAGUUUUUCAGCUUCUUAAAAACUGAAAAAAAAAAAAUCUUCUUUCUUAAUAUUUAGUUGAAAAUUUUCUUUUGAUUUUUAAAAAAAGUUUGAUUGAGAUACUUCUUGAAAUUUUUUAAGCCAAUAUAAAACGAAUGAAAAUCUUGAAAGUUUGUUCUUCAAGUUACUCGCUUUUUUUAAGAGGAGCUACCGGCUUUGAGCUCUAAAAACAAAACAACCUUUUUAUAUAAGGCACUUUAUAUCAAGUCAUCCGUUCGUUUACAUUUAGUGGGCGUUUGGACACAAAGAAUUAUAAAACUCCCCCAAAAAAGUGAAAAUGGUAUUUGAAAAUUAGAGUUAUGUUUGGACUUGAAUAUAAUUUUGGAUUGUUUUUGAAUUUUUGUGAGUGAUCUGAGUAAAAAUUUUGAAAAACAGCUUUUUCAAAUUUUUCAAAUUUUCGAAAAGUCCCAAAAUUCAUCUUCAAGUGAAAAUUUAUGGCCAAACACUGAUUUCGAAAAAAAAUAAAUUUUUCGAUAAAAAGUGAAAAUAUUCGUAUGUCGAGAAAUUUUCAUAAAACACUAUCUUUUAGUAAUAAUUAGUCAUCUAUAGAUACCGUUUGCUAUAUUACGAAUUAUAGAUACCUUUUCUGUGGUUAUAAGAUGUAUUUGAUGUAUUUAAGCUAUGUAUUCAUGAAUACAGUAGCAAAAAUAGGCGUGAAUCAGGGAAGUUCAGCUAAUCAGUUGUUGUAUUCGACUGUAUUCAUGCAACAGCUGGACAGAUUAUUGUAUUAUACUGUAUUCGACUAUAUUCAUGGCGUGAAAUAGGGGAUUACACUGUUUUUAAAACGGAAAGUGAAUCAAUUAACAUAAUAGACUCCUGAUAUAACUCAACAAACUCAAUUAUAACACACAAAUUUGUAUUUUUCAGUUAUAAAAAAGAUUCUCAACCGCAAAAUACCCCAAAAACAUAGCAAUCUUCAGAGAAAUUAUAUAGUACAUCUGAAUACAUAAAUUAUAUUAAUUAAAAAAAAACAUAUGAAUACAUUCAUGGCAUAUAACGAGAUAAUGGAUACAAUGAAAUAGAUCGAAUACAGAGGGAUAUAUUGAAAUACAAUGAGAAAAAAAGACAUUGAAUACAAUGAAAUACAUGGAAUACAACGAGAUACAUUGAAUUACAAUGAAAAAAAAGAUAAUGAAUACAAUGAAAUACAACGAGAUACAUGGAAAUGCUCUAAAAAAAGGCAACAGAAUCUUCAAAUUGCUCAACCCCAAACUUCAGACGACCUAUUUUAGUCGACAAUUUUCCGACGAUCCAUCGGAUUCCGCCCAUGAUUCCAUAAGCAGCGAUGAGAGAAAGAAGAAGAAAACGAGAAAUCACAGAAAUCAUAAAUCAGAAAUCAGAGAUUCCGAUUUUGAUAUUCGUGGACAUGAAUAAUACGCCAACUCCAGUAUGUUUCUUCUUCUUCCUCCUUUCCGAUUUUGAUUGUUUUCGUAAAAUUCCGAUUUUGAUAAACUCCAAGGCUGUGAUUUCUCCUUAAUUAAAUAGCACGCGGUUACGCCAAAAUUUAGGCUUUCGUCUUCUUCGUCUUCAAUUGCUUUGUUUGUGCAUAUUUACGAGCUAGCUUAUUAAGGUUUGAUGGAUUUUUGUUUCCUACUAAAAUGCUGUUCCAAUAAUUAAUAUCAGUAUUGUCUAUAUUGGAGUUAUUUUGGUUAAGAGGAAGAGGUCCACGAAAUUUUGGGAGAAUGAGAUAUAUCAAAGUAGAGAGAGAAAGAAAAAAGUGUAACUGAUUAGCGUAUUUAGUGGCUUAGGGCUAGGAGGAAACCAAAAUUAAAUAUUUUGCUAUAAACCUUAAAAGGUAUCUAUACAGUAUAAUUUUUUUAAAUAAUAUUUAUUUAAAAUAAAUAAGGUGUUAACCUUUGCUAUAGGAGGUAAAAAUUCCGAUAAUAUAGAGGCGCGUUAAUAUAGUGAGCCACACCUUUCAAACUAAGCUUUUAUGCUGAUCUAUGGAUUAUAGUUAGCCAUCCAAUAAUAGGAUUAUACAGCAUUAUGUGCUUUACAUUACUAUAUGAUCAUUAUGAAAAUGAUAUUUCGUAUUCUUUUAACUCUCUCUCUGUGCGCGCAGGGGGUGGGGGUGGGGAGGAUCAACAAGCUAUACGAUGCAAGCCAAUUAUUGAAUCCUGAAGUGACAAAAAUAAAACUGAUACAGCUCAAUACAUAGUAAAGUAAAGAAGCAAACUUGUGGUUCAAUAUGACGAAGAGAGUGUUUGGAUUGGCUUUUAACAUGGUCAAAUCAGCUUUUAAGCUCUUUCUAGCUUUUUUCAGUGUUUGACAAAGUUAAAAAAUACUUAAAAUAAGUUAAAAACUGCUUAAAAGUUAAAACAAGCCAAACCAGUAAGCUAGCAACCCCAACUUAUUGCUUUUUGGCAUAAAAGUUAUUUAUGCCUAAAGACUACUUUUUUAGCUAUCAUUCGCGCCUUGUAACAUUAAUUUGUAGAGUGCAAAGCCUCCUCUGUGGCAGCCGGGCAUAGUAGAAGCCAUGUCAUCCAAAUCAGUCUGACAAAAAAAGAAACAUGUGAAAUUAACAAUUGCAAGUCAUAGAUAAACUGUGUAAAGCAAUAUGAACCUUUCUUUUAUGGAUGAAGAAGCAAAACUACCUCUCGUACUACUUUUAGCAACACAUACUUAAACAACGGAUCAGUACCAAAUAUAAUAUACACCUAUCAUCAGCAGUCUUGAAAUGGUGAUGCCCGUGAUUUCCAACAGAUUAAGGAGUAAAAAAUGCAAGAAAGGAAAGAGCUCAAAAAUAAAAUAAAGUAGUCCAGCACAUGAAAAAAAGCCUUCUCAAACUCAAUUUCACAUGACAAGUAGAACGCUGCUAAAUGGCCCCAGGUAGGACAGAAAGGAGAUACCUAAGGUUGAUUUUAGGCAAUUUCAAGCUGAAAAAGGUGGAGGAUUAUUUGGCUAGAAGGAUCUUAAGGGUUUCGGUCAUGCAACUUAGAAUAAGAUGCCAGGAACAAGGAACAAGGAACAAGCAUCACUGAUGUUGUGAAGCUGUAAGACAGAACCAUAGGAUAGAUUUGCAAUUAUCACUUCCAACCAAGAGGUUGUGAGUUCGAGUCUCCCCAAGAGCAAGGUGGGAAGUUCUUGGAGGGAAGAAUGCCGGGGGUCUAUUUGGAAACCUCUCUACCCCAGUGUAGGGGUAAGGUCUGCGUAUACACUACCCCCCAGACCCCACUAAGUGGGAUUAUACUGGGUUGUUGUUGUUGUAUUACUCUCAAGCACAACAGCU
rnacentral:lncRNA from 1 species